UAUACCGUACUUUAUAAGCAAUUAAAUGCAUUUUGUCAGGACCACUUUCGUCAAAGAUGAUUGGCAAUUAGCAUACAGUUUGGAUUGGCGGUAUGGUUCUGUUCUGGGCAAAAACUCCCUGCGCAGCAUGCAGCC